rnacentral:rRNA from 1 species
GACGAACGCUGGCGGCGUGCCUAACACAUGCAAGUCGAACGGAAAGGCCCUGCUUUUGUGGGGUUCUGGAGGGGCGAACGGGUGAGUAACACGUGAGUAACCUGCCCUUGACUUUGGGAUGACUUCAGGAAACUGGGGCUAAUAUCGGAUAGGAGCUCCUGUUGCGUGGUGGGGGGUGGAAAGUUUCGGCGGUUGGGGAUGGACUCGCGGCUUAUCAGCUUGUUGGUGGGGUAGUGGCUUACCAAGGCUUUGACGGGUAGCCGGCCUGAGAGGGUGGCCGGCCACAUUGCGACUGAGAUACGGACCAGACUCCUACGGGAGGCAGCAGUGGGGAAUCUUACACAGUGAGCGGAAGCCUGAUGCAGCAACCCCCCGUGCGGGAUGACGGCCUUCGGGUUGUAAACCGCUUUCGCCUGUGACGAAGCGUGAGUGACGGUAAUGAGUAAAGAAGCACCGGCUAACUACGUG